rnacentral:rRNA from 1 species
UACGUAGGCGGAAAAUUAAGUCAGUAGUGAAAUCCUGCAGCUUAACUGUAGAACUGUUAUUGAUACUGGUUUUCUUGAAUAUAGUUGAAGUAGGCGGAAUGUGUAAUGUAGCGGUGAAAUGCUUAGAUAUUACACAGAACACCGAUUGCGAAGGCAGCUUACUAAGCUAUGAUUGACGCUGAGGUACGAAAGCGUGGGGAGCGAACAGGAUUAGAUACCCUGUAGUCC